rnacentral:rRNA from 1 species
AGGGAAAGCCGGAGAUCGUCAUGCUCCGGCCGCCAUGGACAGGCCGCGGGAAUUCGAUUAGAGUUUGAUCCUGGCCUCAUAUUGAGCGCUGGCGGCAUGCCUUACACAUGCAAGUCGAACGGUAACAGGUUAAGCUGACGAGUGGCGAACGGGUGAGUAAUGUAUCGGAACGUGCCCAGUCGUGGGAGAUAACUGCUCGAAAGAGCAGCUAAUACCGCAUACGACCUGAGGGUGAAAGCGGGGGAUCGCAAGACCUCGCGCGAUUGGAGCGGCCGAUAUCAGAUUAGGUAGUUGGUGAGGUAAAGGCUCACCAAGCCGACGAUCUGUAGCUGGUCUGAGAGGACGACCAGCCACACUGGGACUGAGACACGGCCCAGACUCCUACGGGAGGCAGCGGUGGGGAAUUUUGGACAAUGGGCGCAAGCCUGAUCCAGCCAUGCCGCGUGCGGGAAGAAGGCCUUCGGGUUGUAAACCGCUUUUGUCAGGGAAGAAAAGGUUCUGGCUAAUACCUGGGACUCAUGACGGUACCUGAAGAAUAAGCACCGGCUAACUACGUGCCAGCAGCCGCGGUAAUACGUAGGGUGCAAGCGUUAAUCGGAAUUACUGGGCGUAAAGCGUGCGCAGGCGGUUAUGCUAGACAGAGGUGAUAUCCCCGGGCUCAACCUGGGAACUGCCUUUGUGACUGCAUGGCUAGAGUACGGUAGAGGGGGAUGGAAUUCCCGCGUGUAUAAUUGAAAUGCCUUAAAUUAGCAGAGGACCUCCGAUGGCGAAAGGCAUUCCUCUUGGAACGGUACUUGACGCUCAUGCUACUAUGGCGUGGGGGAGCAACUGGAUUAUGAUACCUCUGGAUAUUCCAUGCUCGUAUUUGAUGGUUUCUGUGUUGUUUGGGAUGGGUCUCUUUCCUAAAAAAUGUAAUUUGCUGUGUGGGAGUUGAUCUGUCCUGUGUCAUUAUCUUCAUCUUAUGUUGAAAUCCUAAUAUAUUUGAUCGGGUAUCUGAGCAUUCAGGGUGAUGAAUCUGGUUACUGUCUAUUGUCACGUGCAGACCUUUACUCCUCCUUUUAUUGGUGUUGCUUUUUUUAAGUUUUAUGUGUGUCGUUAGUUAGUCCAUGA